rnacentral:ncRNA from 1 species
CUUAAACCGUUGAAAAGGCUAGUAAUAAGAUUAUUGUUUUAAGAGAGUCAGUGGAUUUGGUGUGAACUGAUAACAAUGUUUUAUGAAUCCACCUUGGAGGGACUGUGAUGAGCAGUACGUGCUAAAUACGUUAGUUUUAUAAAGAGUGGAUAAUAAAGAGUAUUUAUUAUCAAUUAGGGUGGCAACACGGAGUUCUUCGUCCCUUUU